UACGUAGGGUGCGAGCGUUGUCCGGAAUUAUUGGGCGUAAAGAGCUCGUAGGCGGUCUGUCGCGUCUGCUGUGAAAACCCGAGGCUCAACCUCGGGCCUGCAGUGGGUACGGGCAGACUAGAGUGCGGUAGGGGAGAAUGGAAUUCCCGGUGUAGCGGUGAAAUGCGCAGAUAUCAGGAGGAACACCGGUGGCGAAGGCGGGUCUCUGGGCCGAAACUGACGCUGAGGAGCGAAAGCGUGGGGAGCAAACAGG
rnacentral:rRNA from 1 species